AGCGAACGCUGGCGGCAGGCUUAACACAUGCAAGUCGAGCGGGCAUCCUUGUGGUGUCAGCGGCAGACGGGUGAGUAACGCGUGGGAACGUGCCCUUCGGUUCGUACUAACUCAGGGAAACUUGAGCUAAUACCGGAUACGUGCGAGAGCAGAAAGGUUUAUCUGCCGAAGGACCGGCCCGCGUCUGAUUAGCUAGUUGGUGAGGUUAUGGCUCACCAAGGCGACGAUCAGUAGCUGGUCUGAGAGGAUGGGCAGCCACACUUGGACUGAGACACGGCCCGGACUCCUACGGGAGGCAGCAGUGGGGAAUGUUGGACAGUGGGGGCAACCCUGAUCCAGCCAUGCCGCGUGAGUGAUGACGGCCUUAGGGUUGUAAAGCUCUUUUCUCCGGGACGAUAAUGACGGUACCGGAGGAAUAAGCCCCGGCUAACUUCGUG
rnacentral:rRNA from 1 species